rnacentral:lncRNA from 1 species
GUGAAGGAUGCGCAAGAAAUAUGAAACGUGAUUUGGUAGCAGUAAAAUGGCGUGUUUGGAGUUUAUAAGGGUUUGCAAAGCGACGCACCUUUUCAAGUUAUAGAGGGAAACAAUGAUUGAAAUUCUUUGGGAAUCGCUAACGUUGCUGGAGACGUGAAGUGAAUAUGGCAAAAUUCAAUAAUUAUUAUUAAUUCUGCCAUAUUGGGGGGUAAUUGUUGACACAUAAAAAUUCAGCCCAAGUCGAACAGCCCAAGGAGUAAAGCCCAACUGGAGAAUCCCCAAAACGGAUGGCCCAAAGAAUGAAGUCCAAUCGAACGAGUCAAGGUGAAGGCCCAAACAAGGGGCCCAAGAAUGCGGUAAUGCCAUCGCCCAAGUUUGCAAGUCGCUCAAAAUCUGAACGAAUGGGUGCCAUACGGUCGCCCAGAGCUGUUAUUCUACUCUCGCCCAAACCUUCAAGUCGCCCAAGGUGUCGACAAACAUAACACAUCGUAAUUAUCAAGGAAUGCAGUUAUCAAGGCAGUUGUUAAAGUAGCCUUAUCACGUUCCACAACUCAAAUAAUUCAAUCGAAUGCAGUUGAACGAUGAAAGAUAAUGACAGCAGUUAAAAGGCGGUUUCAUGACAAAAUGGCCACUACAAAGAAAGUGGGUAGUUAUAGGACGAUCAAGCAGUUUUCAGAGUAGUUAAUCACAAAGAGAUCGUCUAUGAGGUAUAAAAGGGAGAAAGGGCGUAGAAGCAAGGACCGAAUCCAAAACUCUCGAACAGAGAAUAUGUAAUUUUCAUUUCUUUAGCUUUUAGACUUAAACACUUUCCUUUCUAUAACUCGUGUGCUUGCGCCCCUUGGAGGCACGUUGUUCUUCGUUUCCAAUUGUAAAGUUCAUCGCCAAUAAAAGAACACCCCUUUUUGGGACUUUGUUUCAAGAGGUUUCGUCCCUUACACAAUCGUCUUAUCCUCUUUAAUUGUUAGCGAGUUAACCCGCGCGAAACACUUCUAUUUCCCCUUUUCUAGUGCGUCUUUCUUCUCCUUUUACCUGUGGCAGUUGCCUGUAAAAUUGUAGCUUUUGAUGGUCAUGUUUUGCAUUCAUGUUCAUUGUAUGUGAUGUAAUUUAAUUUGUGCUAUUGUGAUGUGCUGUUCAAAAACGUUGAUAGUGUUUACAUUGUCUUAUUUUCUGUAUUGCUUAAUGUUUUUAGAUGUUCAACGAUUAUUAUGAAUUCCAAUAAUUUAUUGUCCAAUCAUUUUUUUUUUCGGAUGGUCAUGUUUGUAAUGUCCAGCUUCCUCUUCUUUUUGGUGUACCAAUGAGCAAUAUCUUUUCCUUUGUGCCAUUUUUUCAUUCUCUUUUCUCGUGAGCGUUUACUCAUGGCCUUCCGAUAAAAAAAUAAAAAUAAUAAUAAUUUGAGGGUUCGUUUAGUAAACAAUAAUUUCCAGGUUGAUGUUGACUGAUGUUACUUAUGCAUUUAACUUAUAAAAAUUCCUUUUCUAUAUAUUUCUAACUUUACAAAUGGAUUCAUUCUUCAUGGUUCUCAAGAUAUAGGGACUGUACAAGUCUGAUUGUUGCAUUUAUAUCAUAUCCUGUUUAUCAGACUAUUGUUUCGAGAAUCCCGUGUAAGAAAAAAUAAUAAGAGAGAACUUACAAGAAAGCUGCUCAGGUAAUUGGUUGUAAGCAUGGUUAAGCAAAUGGAUCUAUUCUAUUGCAACUGGAUUGAUGGAUCUGGUUCAACUGCAGUGCCCAAGGGGUAGGAGUGAUGCAAUUUGCAAAUUACAUGGUGCAAUUUGGAUUGUCUACUCAAAUUUUUGUAGGUAUUGAUUGUUCUUUUUUUUUUUUUUUUUU